ACGCUGGCGGCGUGCCUAACACAUGCAAGUCGAGCGGCAGCGAGUUUUACACUGAAUUCUGGAAGCUUCUGGUUUGAAGAGAAGAUUUAUUCAAGAAUUUUGUGUAAAAUGUCGGCGAGCGGCGGACGGCUGAGUAACGCGUGGGAACGUACCCCAAAGUGAGGGAUAACGCAUCGAAAGGUGUGCUAAUACCGCAUAUGGUCUUCGGAUUAAAGCCUUCGGGCGCUUCGGGAACGGCCUGCGUAAGAUUAGAUAGUUGGUGGGGUAAUGGCCUACCGAGUCGACGAUCUUUAACUGGUUUGAGAGGAUGAUCAGUCAGACUGGAACUGAGACACGGUCCAGACUCCUACGGGAGGCAGCAGUGAGGAAUCUUCCACAAUGGGCGAAAGCCUGAUGGAGCAACGCCGCGUGCAGGAUGAAGGCCUUCGGGUUGUAAACUGCUUUUAUAAGUGAGGAUUAUGACAGUAACUUAUGAAUAAGGAUCGGCUAACUACGUGCCAGCAGCCGCGGUCAUACGUAGGAUCCGAGCGUUAUCCGGAGUGACUGGGCGUAAAGAGUUGCGUAGGUGGUUCGAUAAGCGAAUAGUGAAAUCUGGUGGCUCAACCAUUCAGACUAUUAUUCGAACUGUUGAACUCGAGAGCAGAAGAGGUAGCUGGAAUUUCUAGUGUAGGAGUGAAAUCCGUAGAUAUUAGAAGGAACACCGAUGGCGUAGGCAGGCUACUGGGCUGUUUCUGACACUGAGGCACGAAAGCGUGGGGAGCGAACCGGAUUAGAUACCCGGGUAGUCCACGCCGUAAACGAUGGAUACUAGCUGUUUGGGGUAUCGACCCCCUGAGUAGCGAAGCUAACGCGUUAAGUAUCCCGCCUGUGGAGUACGAUCGCAAGAUUAAAACAUAAAGGAAUUGACGGG
rnacentral:rRNA from 1 species